ACAGAAUUAAACCCCAAACAUCCCUCCCCUCCCCAGGGUUAAAAACCCAGCUGGGAAUCCUCUCCAAAUCCCAAAUCCUGAAUUCCAGGAUCCAAACCCCUGCGGGAUCCUCGGCACCGAGCCAAGAUCCGGCUCCACAAGGGUCUCCCGGAGAGGAGAAAACCCCGGGAUCCACCGGAUCCCGGGAAUGAAGAGGACGAGGGAUUCCUCAAGGGUCCACCCCUGGAUCUGCUGGCUCCGGCCGCUCUCCCGGAUCAGCCGGACGCUCUCACGGCCUCUCCGGAGCUGAGAGCCGGGAACGGGAACAGCCUGGAAUUCCUGUCCCAUCCCUGGGGCUGCGGCUGCUCCUUCUGCUCCGAGCCGGCGCUGCUGGAGCUGGGGCUGCGCUGGCUCCUGGCGCGGGCUCGGCACCGCGUCCUGGCCGGGAGCGCCGCCACCGGAGCCGCCCUGGCGCGGAAAGUGCUGGAACGCUGCGGGAGCGCCGGGAAACGGCUGGAGUGGGAGCUGGACAGGGCUGGGAUGGCGGGGAGCGGCGGGAAUGACGGCGGGAGUAACGGGAAUGACAACGGGAAUAACGGCAGGAAUAACGGGAAUGACAAUGGGAAUAACGGCAGGAAUGACAGGGGGAAUAACGGGAAUGACAGCGGGAAUAACGGCAGGAAUGACAGGGGGAAUAACGGGAAUGACAAUGGGAAUAACGGGGGGAAUAACGGGAAUGACAACAGGAAUAACAGCAGGAAUAACAGGAAUGACAAUGGGAAUAACGGCAGGAAUGACGGCAGGAAUGACGGCAGGAAUAAUGGGGGGAACAAUGGGAAUAACGGGGGGAAUGAUGGGAACAGUGGGAUUGAGAGCAGUGGGAAUGAGGGGAACACUGGGAAUGAGGGAAACAAUGGGAUUGGAGGGAACAUUGGAACUGGGAACAAUGGGAAUGAGAGCCGUGGGAAUGGAGGGAAGAAUGGGAUUGGGGACAUUGUCAAGGAUAGGGGAAUUCCUGGGAAUAAUGGGGACACCAUCAGGGAUGGGGACAGGAAUCUGCAGGAUCCCCCUGGGAAUAGUGGGAACAUCUUUGGGAUCAGGGACCUGCAGGAUCCCUCUGGCAAUGGGAACGACUUUGGGAUCAGGGAUCCCCCUGGGAAUGGGAACAGUUUUGGGAUCAGGAACCCGCAGGAUCCCUCUGGCAAUGGGAAGAGUUUUGAGAUCAGGGACACCUUUGGGAUCAGGGACCUGCGGGAUCCCCCUGGGGAUGGGAACAGUUUUGGGAUCAGGGACCCCCCUGUGGAUGGGAACAGUUCUGGGCUCAGGGACCCCUCUGGGCUCAGUCCCCCCCUGGGCCCGCUGGCCGAGCUGGUGGCCAUCGCCUACUCCACGCUGGCCCUGCGGGGGCUGCUGGGCCCAUCCCACCUGGGUCUGCUUUGGGAUGAGGAGCUGGAGCGGGGUCUGACCCUCCUGGCGUCCCAAAGCGCCCCCGUGGCCGGGCUGGCCGUGGCCGUGGCCACUCUGCUGCUGGCCAAAGCCUUGGCCACCCUCGGCCGCGUGGCUACCGCCCUCGGCCGCUCCGUCAGCGACGUCCUGGCCCAAAGCUGGACCCCCCGACCCCCAGCCAGCCCCAAAGAACCCCAAAAAACCCCCAAAGCUCCCCCCAAGAAAACCAAACCCCCCAAAGGCAAGGUGGGGAAGACCCCGAAAGCGAAGCCCCCCGGGUUUGGGGAGGUUUUCUCGCUGGGGGAUUCGGACAGCGAGGUCCCCCCCAUUGUCCUGCGGCCGGGGGGACCCUGCACCCCACACCCCAAAUCGGGGGCGCCCCCAAAAACGCUGCUGGGGGGGCCCAGGACCCCCUUCAGCAUCUUCAGCGAGGAGCCCUCCCCCAGCCUGGGCCGCUCCCGGCUCCGCAGGGCCCCCAAAAUCCCGGGAAGGGUCAAGUCCCGGAUCAGGGUGAGUCUGGGGGGGAAUUUGGGGAGGGGAAUUUGGGGAGGGGGAAAGUUUGGGGAGGGGAAUUUGGGGAUGGGAAAUUGGGGAUGGGAAUUUGGGGAGGGAAAUUUGGGAGGGAAAUUGGGAGGGGAAUUUGGG
ensembl:lncRNA